AAUGAACGCUGGCGGCAUGCCUUACACAUGCAAGUCGAACGGCAGCAUGACCUAGCUUGCUUGGUUGAUGGCGAGUGGCGAACGGGUGAGUAAUGCAUCGGAACGUGCCUUUUAGUGGGGGAUAACGUAGCGAAAGUGACGCUAAUACCGCAUAUCCUCUCAGGAGGAAAGCAGGGGACCUUCGGGCCUUGCGCCAGAGGAGCGGCCGAUGUCGGAUUAGCUAGUUGGUGAGGUAAAGGCUCACCAAGGCAACGAUCCGUAGCGGGUCUGAGAGGAUGAUCCGCCACACUGGAACUGAGACACGGCCCAGACUCCUACGGGAGGCAGCAGUGGGGAAUUUUGGACAAUGGGCGCAAGCCUGAUGCAGCCAUGCCGCGUGAGUGAAGAAGGCCUUCGGGUUGUAAAGCUCUUUCGGCUGGGAAGAAAGCGCACCCUCUAAUACAGGGUGUGAAUGACGGUACCAGCAUAAGAAGCACCGGCUAACUACGUG
rnacentral:rRNA from 1 species